rnacentral:lncRNA from 1 species
AUGUGGAUAAACUCUCUUCCAACUCUAAUAAAAGAGCCUUUUAGCCUCUUCCCUUAUUUUAUAAACGAGAAAACUGAGGUCGAUUUUAAUUAACUUGCCCAGAGUCACACGGCAAGUAAAUAUCUGAGCUGAGAUUCGAACCACCUAAUAAUAAUAGCUAGCAUUUAUACAGUUCUUGCUGGGAAACAAAUGUUCAUUCUUUUGCUCUUCACAAAAUCCCUGGGAGGUAUAACUAUGAUUAUUAUCCCCAUUUUACAGAGGCAGAAACUGAGACCCAGAGAAAUGAAACGGAUUGCUUAAGGCUAUGAAACUAUUGUUUGGAGGCAAAUAUCAAAGCUGAUCUGGUGCUUUAACCACUACAUUACCUGAAUGUUCGAUUCUGGGUUUCAUCUUCCUGGCUCUAAUAUAGACCUGGACUUGAUUUGGGGUAGGCGGGCCAUAAUGCCGCGGAUGCAAAACGCUAUAGGCAAGAUCGAUCUGAGUUCAAAUCCAUCCUUAGACACUAAUGUGUCAGUAAAAUGAGCUGGAGGAGGAAAUGUGUUUUCCACGUCUGUUUCUUUUGCCCAAAAAAAAGCCCCAAUGGGGUCAGAACAACAGGCUUACCCCUGCGUUUGUAACUCAUUCACUUGAAUCGUGAAAUGGCCGCGUCUUCGAAUUGCGGUACCUCCCGGACGAGAACUCUCUGGUUAGCUCAGUAAUACAUCCGGGCUCGCUCGCAGGCGAAACCCUCCCUUUCCAGAGAAGGAAGCGGAACCGCAAGCGCACCUAGAACUUUGUUCAGACGCCCGGGGCGCGUGGCCACCGGGGCAGGCCCUUGAACUUGGACGUCGCGUUCUGCGCUUUCCGAGCCGCGGCCCUUCCUCACCUCAGGUCUCAAUCUAUCUCUCCUCCCCAACGCCUCCCCGAGAGCCAAUGAAAAAAGUGCAAGGAAACUUUGCAACAGUAACAAAGUCUGAAGAUACAGUAUCCCAAGUCCAGGACUCCCUCCCCACAUCUAGGACUCCCCCCACACAUGCAAAGAAAGGGGGAGGCUUCUCUGGGCCCAGGCUUGGCCGUUAGCAUGUGGAAGGAAGCAUUCGCUUUGCUCUAUUUGAUCGCAAGUUCCAUUUCCUAAGCAACAGAUCAACCAAGACUGAAUUAUACGAGGUGUCCCACACCCAUAAUUCAUCCCUUUCGAGAAAGGUGGAGAAAAGAGAUUUUCCUGACUCCAAAUCCAGUUAUCUAGGGUUGCCUCAGUUUAAGGUGCAUGCGAUCUUGUUUGGUGCAGGCUUACCUUCCCCAAAGGGAUCUCUCCGGAAGUAUCCUUGGAAAAAAGUCCACUCCCACUGCUCAGGCAAUUUUUUUCAAGGGGAAAACCAGACCCUUUAUAGUUCCCCCCCACCACUCCCCAGAGGAUUAAGGAAGUGAGUUCUCCUUCUUGCAGAUUUGGAAAUAACCCAGAGAGGCUUUUAUUAUAAGGGGCAUUAGCCCUGGUGGGAGGACUAAAGUUGAAAUUCCCAACUUUUCUUUUUUGAGGUUUCUUUUCAAAGUAAAGCAAAUUCUAACAUUUAAGAUAGAAAAUAAUAUAUAAUAGAAAGUAAUAUAUGUGAAUAUAAGAUAUAAAAUGAUAUAUGUAAAUAUAAGAGAAAAUAACAUAUAACAAAUAAUUGUGAAUAUAAGAUAUAAAAUAAUAUUUGUAAAUAUAACAAAAUAUUAUAUAUGUAAACAUAAUAUUCACAUAAAUAUAUUAUAUAAUAUAAUUAUAAGCAUAUGUAUCAUUAUAUUGAUAUAGUAUGUUAUUAUGAUAUAUUAUACAUAUAAUAAAUAUUAUUAUCAAUCAUCAUCAUCUUGCUCUCAUCAUUUUCUAGAAAUUUAGUCAGCAGUGAUCUUGGGACAGAUUUUAUUGUUAUUAUAGUAUCUGUUGACUGAGAAAAAAUUUGUGAUGAAAGCUUCAGGGAAUUCAGCAAUGUCUGUAAGCGAAUUUGUCUUUUAUUAUCUACAAUAACUACCACCUAGAUUUGACAAGUUAUAAUACAAGAACAAUAUUUAUUCAGUCCAUAGGAGGUAUGUUUGCUUAUUUCAGGAGUGUAAUAUGGAUUUCCCCAAGCUUUGCAACCACUCCUUGACCUCUUUUCACACUAACCCUCUCCCCCUUCCUUCCAAAAGAAAAACACCUUGGAGGGGUUAUAGAGUGGGAAUUUCUUCUCCAAGUAAAACAAAACUAAACUAAGAAAAAUUGACGGAAAAUCUGGAGUCAGAAAGGUCAAAAAGCAUUUAUUAAACGACUAUGAGCUAGACUCUGUAUUAGGCUCUGAGCAUAGAAAGAAAGGCAAAAGAUAAGACAAUUCCUGCCCUCAAGAAGCUCCCAAUCUAAUGGGGAAAACAACAUGCAAACAACCCUAUACAAGGAAGAUCCACAGAGAUAAAUUUAGGGAAUCAGUUUUAUGGGGAGACCAGGAAAGGCCUUAUGAAGCAGGUGGCAUUCAACCUGGGACUUGAAGGAAGCCGGAGAAGCCAAGAAGCAGAGAGGAGAAGGGGAAGAAUUCCAGACUUGGGGACCAUCCAGGGAAAAAGUCAGGAGACAAAAGGAACAGCAGGAAAGCUUAUGUGUGGGAAAUGAGUUAUAAGGAGAUUGGAAAGAUAGAAGGGUUAUGUUAUCAGGGGCUUUGAAUGGCAACAGAAUUUCAUAUUUGAUUCUGGAGGUGAUAGAGAAUUCCUGGGGGUGGGAAGAGAUUGAGAAAAACUGGAGAGAAAAAGAGAAAGACAGAGUAAGAGACAGAAAGUGACAGAUAGAAAGGAGAGACAGGGAUAGAGACAGCCAGAGAGAGAGACAGACAGAUAGAGAGAGAUAGAGAAAGAGACAAAAAGAGAGAGACAGAGACCGAGGGACAGGGAGAAAUAGAGACAGAGAGGCAGAGACAGAGAUAGAGAGAUAGAAAAAGACAGACACAGACUCAGAGAUAGAGAAAGAGACAGAGACAGAGACAGAGAGAGUCAGAAAGAUCCAAGAUCAGCAGACCUAAGUGUGCUGGCUAAGAGCUAUGUCGGGCUCUUGGGGGGGGGGGGGUUAGGAAAAGCUCCCCCAGAGCUUCUAAUAACCACCCAAGGGAAUGGCCCAAAUAUGUCUGGACCUUGAAUUCCUGGAUUUUGGAUGCUUACACCCCAGUCCCAGAGCAGCUUCAGCAGGUAUACUUUCCAAAAUGAGAAGAGAACCAUGUGAUCCUACUGGUGGGAGCAACUGAACCCCAGCUUUCUGGAGAAAUGCUCAGAGUUCUUUCAUCCCAGCUUCCUGGAUGGAGGAAGAGGAAUUCCUGGGAAUAAAGAGCCCAGAAUCCAGCUUCUAGCAUUCAAAGGGUGAUAUCCUAGACAGCAUCAGUCUCAUAAUUGUCUCCCUAGUAACCUCAAAUUUGAGAGCUCAGUGAUGUCUCUCAGUCAGAUCAACAAUAUCAGACAUUUGCCAAGCAUUAGGCUGAGUUCCGGGAGAUCCGGUGAUGUGGUCCCUGUUAAGUAGCUUACAUUACACUGAAAAAAAUAGAACCUCGUUGAUAUAUAAAUAUGGAAUGUAUACAAAUAAACAUACUCCCACUGCAUCCAGAAUCAUCUCCAGUCAUCCUGAUCUAUAUCUUGCCACUGGAUUCAGACGACUCUGGAAGAGAAAAUAAGGCUAGUGACCUUGACCAGCCCUCCCUCAAUUAAAUCCAAUUCACUUACAUGGCAUGUCAUCACCUCGCUGAUGUCAUGGUCUUCUUGAAGGACAAGCAACAACAACAACAACUAAACACAAAGUAU